rnacentral:rRNA from 1 species
CAAGUCGAACGGUAAGGCCCCUUCGGGGGUACACGAGUGGCGAACGGGUGAGUAACACGUGGGUAAUCUGCCCUGCACUUCGGGAUAAGCCUGGGAAACCGGGUCUAAUACCGGAUAUGAACUCCUGCCGCAUGGUGGGGGUUGGAAAGUUUUUCGGUGCAGGAUGAGCCCGCGGCCUAUCAGCUUGUUGGUGGGGUAAUGGCCUACCAAGGCGACGACGGGUAGCCGGCCUGAGAGGGUGAUCGGCCACACUGGGACUGAGACACGGCCCAGACUCCUACGGGAGGCAGCAGUGGGGAAUAUUGCACAAUGGGCGAAAGCCUGAUGCAGCGACGCCGCGUGGGGGAUGACGGUCUUCGGAUUGUAAACCCCUUUCAGUAGGGACGAAGCGCAAGUGACGGUACCUGCAGAAGAAGCACCGGCUAACUACGUGCCAGCAGCCGCGGUAAUACGUAGGGUGCGAGCGUUGUCCGGAAUUACUGGGCGUAAAGAGCUCGUAGGCGGUUUGUCACGUCGUCUGUGAAAUCCCUCGGCUU